rnacentral:rRNA from 1 species
UUCCGGUUGAUCCUGCCGGACCUGACUGCUAUCGGAUUGAUACUAAGCCAUGCGAGUCAUUGUAGCAAUACAAGGCAGACGGCUCAGUAACGCGUAGUCAACCUAACCUAUGGACGGGAAUAACCUCGGGAAACUGAGAAUAAUGCCCGAUAGAACACUAUACCUGGAAUGGUUUGUGUUCCAAAUGAUUUAUCGCCGUAGGAUGGGACUGCGGCCUAUCAGUUUGUUGGUGAGGUAAUGGCCCACCAAGACUAUUACAGGUACGGGCUCUGAGAGGAGUAGCCCGGAGAUGGGUACUGAGACACGGACCCAGGCCCUAUGGGGCGCAGCAGGCGAGAAAACUUUGCAAUGUGCGAAAGCACGACAAGGUUAAUCCGAGUGGUUUGUGCUAAACGAACCUUUUGUCGGUCCUAGAAACACCGAUGAAUAAGGGGUGGGCAAGUUCUGGUGUCAGCCGCCGCGGUAAAACCAGCACCUCAAGUGGUCAGGAUGAUUAUUGGGCCUAAAGCAUCCGUAGCCGGCUCUGUAAGUUUUCGGUUAAAUCUGUACGCUCAACGUACAGGCUGCCGGGAAUACUGCAGAGCUAGGGAGUGGGAGAGGUAGACGGUACUCGGUAGGAAGGGGUAAAAUCCUUUGAUCUAUUGAUGACCACCUGUGGCGAAGGCGGUCUACCAGAACACGUCCGACGGUGAGGGAUGAAAGCUGGGGGGAGCAAACCGGAUUAGAUACCCGGGUAGU